AACGGUCAUACCAUGCUGAAUAUACCGGUUCUCGUUAGAUCACCGAAGUCAAGCAUCGUGGGCGCGGUCAGUACUUGGGUGGGUGACCACCUGGGACACACGUGCCG
rnacentral:rRNA from 1 species